AGUGAACGCUGGCGGUAGGCCUAACACAUGCAAGUCGAACGGCAGCACAGUAAGAGCUUGCUCUUACGGGUGGCGAGUGGCGGACAGGUGAGGAAUACAUCGGAAUCUACUUUUUCGUGGGGGAUAACGUAGGGAAACUUACGCUAAUACCGCAUACGACCUACGGGUGAAGGCAGGGGAUCUUCGGACCUUGCGCGAUUGAAUGAGCCGAUGUCGGAUUAGCUAGUUGGCGGGGUAAAGGCCCACCAAGGCGACGAUCCGUAGCUGGUCUGAGAGGAUGAUCAGCCACACUGGAACUGAGACACGGUCCAGACUCCUACGGGAGGCAGCAGUGGGGAAUAUUGGACAAUGGGCGCAAGCCUGAUCCAGCCAUACCGAGUGGGUGAAGAAGGCCUUCGGGUUGUAAAGCCCUUUUGUUGGGAAAGAAAAGCAGCAGGUUAAUACCCCGCUGUUCUGACGGUACCCAAAGAAUAAGCACCGGCUAACUUCGUG
rnacentral:rRNA from 1 species